CAAUGAAGGAAAUUCUAAAAGAAAGCGACUACAAGCAACAUUUGAAGUGAGCUGGGAGCCGGGGUCAUCCUUCUCACCACCAGUCGAACAUACUACUUCAGCCACCAUGUUGAGCGAUAUAAAAGUGUUCUCUAUUUCAGAGAGCAACAACACGAGAUUGUGCCCCCUCUUGCUCCAGGUGCAUGUUGCUGUAAUUAGUAUCAACAGAUUAAAUCAUGGACCAUGUCUCUGUUUCAUACCACCUCUGUUCAUAAAUAGAUAGCUUCCUAGAGAUUGUGCAGUCCUAAGGCCAUCCACACUAUUGCCCGUUAAAGCGUAUUGAGUGCA